UACGUAGGGUCCAAGCGUUAUCCGGAAUCACUGGGCUUAAAGGGUGCGUAGGCGGCGCGGAAAGUUGGGUGUGAAAUCCCUCGGCUCAACCGAGGAACUGCGCCCAAAACUACCGUGCUCGAGGGAGAUAGAGGUGAGCGGAACUUAGGGUGGAGCGGUGAAAUGCGUUGAUAUCCUAAGGAACACCGGUGGCGAAAGCGGCUCACUGGAUCUCUUCUGACGCUGAGGCACGAAAGCUAGGGUAGCGAACGGG
rnacentral:rRNA from 1 species